rnacentral:rRNA from 1 species
UCAGACGAUGCGUCAUGCAUAUCAAUAAGCGGAGGAAAAGAAACUAACAAGGAUUCCCUUAGUAACGGCGAGUGAAGCGGGAAGAGCUCAAAUUUGAAAUCUUCAAGGUUUUACCUUGACGAAUUGUAGUUUAAAGAAGUGUUUUCUGCUGAAGUUUUGGUAAAAGUUCUUUGGAAUAGGACAUCAUAGAGGGUGAGAAUCCCGUAUUUGACCUUUACUUUCAACUUUGUGAUACACUUUCAAAGAGUCGGAUUGUUUGGGAAUGCAGUCCAAAAUGGGUGGUAAAUUUCAUCUAAAGCUAAAUAUUGGCGAGAGACCGAUAGCGAACAAGUACCGUGAGGGAAAGAUGAAAAGAACUUUGAAAAGAGAGUUAAAUAGUACGUGAAAUUGUCAAAAGGGAAGCGUUUAACACUAGUGUUGUUUUCUGAAAAUCAACCUCUGUUAGCUUUAUGCAUGUUUGUUUAGACCUAAUCAGCUAUCUUGCAUGUUCUAUUGUUUGCAGUGGUGCACUUUUCAGUUUACAGGUCAACAUCAGUUUUUUUUACCGUAAAAAAGUUAAAGAAAGGUAGCUCAUGGCUCCGGUCGUGAGUGUUAUAGUCUUUUUCCUAUGCGGUAGGAGAGACUGAGGUCUGCAGCGUAGGAUCCUUCGGGCUAGAUGUAUUAGGUGCUAUGUGAUAGCAUUUUAUAGAACAACUUGUUGACUAUGAUUUUGUCUAUGUAGCUUACUCGCUUAUGUUAUAUUAUACCUACGCUUAGGAUGUUGACUGAUAUGUAGUCGUA